GACGAACGCUGGCGGCGUGCCUAAUACAUGCAAGUAGAACGCUGAAGGAGGAGCUUGCUCUUCUGGAUGAGUUGCGAACGGGUGAGUAACGCGUAGGUAACCUGCCUGGUAGCGGGGGAUAACUAUUGGAAACGAUAGCUAAUACCGCAUAACAGUAGAUGUUGCAUGACAUUUGCUUAAAAGGUGCACUUGCACCACUACCAGAUGGACCUGCGUUGUAUUAGCUAGGUGGUGGGGUAACGGCUCACCAAGGCGACGAUACAUAGCCGACCUGAGAGGGUGAUAGGCCACACUGGGACGGAGACACGGCCCAGACUCCUACGGGAGGCAGCAGUAGGGAAUCUUCGGGAAUGGACGGAAGGCUGACCGAGCAACGACGCGUGAGUGAAGAAGGUUGUCGGAUCGUAAAGCUCGGUUGUAAGAGAAGAACGAGUGUGAGAGUGGAAAGGUCACACUGUGACGGUAUCGGACCAGAAAGGGACGGCUAACUACGUG
rnacentral:rRNA from 1 species